AAAGUGGCCUCUUGAUUCAUGAGCCGCUGUCUGAGGCAACUCGAAAAUGAGCUGUUGCGGCACUGGGUACAGUAGGUACUCCUUAAUUUUUAUUCCAAUUUUUUCACCAAAGAAAAGAUAUUUUUUACAAUCGGAUUGCGAAGAUUUGGCCCACGGUCGCAGGAAGGUAACAAUGAAAUGCGCAAGUUUCUUGUGAACAGUUGCAUCUUUUUCGUUGCAAAAUGCAACUUGGGAUCCAUAAAAAAUGCUUGAGCUACGCGAAAGACCCAGACCUGCAUAACUUCUGAUUUUAAGCGAAGGUCUCAGACACAUGGUAUACUUCACGCCGGUGAAAUUCUCAUCGAAUGAUUUCAGGAGAGGCGGCAAAGAGAUGUACAUCGUUAAGACUGGACAAGAAAGUAGUAACGGGAGACGAGGAGUUCUGGAACAUUGACUGAGGGUUCAGUUUUUGGUGAAAUAAGUCUAUUGGCCCUGGCAGGCACCAAUCGCCGCACGGCAGACGUUCGGUCCCACGGAUUCUCAAAUUAUUUGUUUUGAGCAAGGAUGACCUGAAUGAAGCGAUUGAGUACUAUCCCAACGCACAAGAAAUAUUGAAGAAAAAAGCGAGACAACUAAUACGUCAGAAUGCUGUCCGAGAGCAGGAGGAGGUAUACAAGACCAAAGCAAAUGAUCACAGCAGAGAUGUUGCAACGAAGAGUGAUUCAGAUGACUCGUCCGAGCGGGAGACGUUAUGUUUCCUGCGUUACGGAGCUGGAAGCCGCUCUAGGUCACAUGGAGGUUGGGAGGAUAUGAGCGAACUUUAUCGUCAGUCUUUCGCCAAGCAAGUACGUCAGCUAAUUUCAUCAGUUGCCUAUACACUUUAUGUGGCCUGAAAAUUGGUGGGAAGAUAAGAGUUUUUGGGCUAGCCAGGUGACCGCAGGUAGAGUGCUGCCGAUACAUACAGGGAGAGAAUGGACAAGUCGGUAAUUUUGAGGUUAGGUUAGGUCUAUUCUAACCCUUUUUUAGCUAUUUGGAUAGCACGCUCUGCAAGUCCGUUUGAUUUAGGGUGGUAAAUAGGGGUAAAAUAGAUUUGAAUGUUGAAUUUUGUACAAAGAGUGUGCAGUGGAAUCAAAAGGAGGAUCGUUGAGCUAAUAUUUUGAGAAUACCAGAAUGUAAGAGAGUUGACAAUAAUACUAAAACAGUAUCGCCAGCUUUACAUUCAAUCAUCUGUGAACGUUUGACCACUUGGAGUGAGCAUCUACAAUUAUGAAGUAUUUUAUUUGUUUGGAUUAAAAAAAAAAAAAUCAAUGUGCACCCAUUUGAAGGAAAAAUUGGCCUCGAGCCAAGGAACAAAACCUUUGGGAGGGCGAACAUUCAGAACACAAUUUUGGCAAUUAUUCACUAGUGAUUCUUCAUAGGAAUUUAGUGAGAGCCACUGCACCCAAGAGCGAGCUAAAAGUUUUGUUCUUGCUAUUCCAUGGUGGUCUUCGUGAGAUGGCUUGAGCACUUGUGGCUGAAGUUUAGGGGGUGUAACAGCUGUUGAGUGGCAAUUGAUGUCGUCACUUGGUAAAAAAAAAACAUUUUUGUCAAAUUUUGGGUUACCUAAUUUCAUCCACUUUUAACUUAACGUUGACUUUCCUUGCUUUUUCUAGUGUGCAAGAAGAUGUUAUUCUGUGGGUUAUGACAGCAGUCCUCCAGUACGAUGCAUUAAUUACCAAGAGGCAUAAUACUGAGUACACCCCAGUAAUGAUUUGUGAUGGCGACAAUGUAUUGAAGCCGAAUUCAAACUGGAGAUCAUCUUCGUCCUCAUUCACAUAAAAUUUCGCCGGAGGGCCUUGUCUCCAUGGGACGUUUCAUGGGAGUUGUCCCAGGGAGAAAUCUCGCUUACAAAGGUGGGAAACAUAUUGAGUUAGUCAAUAUUACUUCUUGUGGAGUCCUAGGAGCGACUCAUAGCGAAGAAGAAGAAAUUUAGUUGUCUUGUUCAACGGGGAGAAAGCCCAGAGGUGCCUAUCCUGCGAUUCGAACUUGGGGAAAAUUCCAUUAAACGUCGCGUGGAGACAAGGCCGAGGGAAUACUUAUCAAAUCCAUAGCGAUGAAUUUUUCCCGUCAAGGAUUACCUACUGAGCAAACUAGAAAGCUCAGAAUUGCGACAUAAGAAUGGUGAAUACCGUUAAUGCUUGUUCAUCUAUUUACGACGUCGAUAACUAUCAACCAUGAAAUAAGGAAUAAAAUAAAAUUAAUCGUUUUUUAUUUAUGGGAUUGUAAGUAAAUUUCCUCUAGAGCUUCGAAUGAUAUCCUUGGCUGCCUUGGCGGCCAAAAUAUCAGUGUCAGAUAUGUAUCAAGUGAACACCCUAUCACACUUCACAGCCGAGCUCUGAACUCAACGUCACUUGAAUGGGGAGCAUAGGCGUACACUUCGAGGGGGAGGGGGUGGCCCUCCUUAGAAUUUCAAUGGUGUCAUCUAACCCCCCCCCCCCCCCCUCCCAAGAAAUUCUGCGUGGAGGGUAGAAAAAAGCUUCGUCGAGGAUAUUUAUCUCUCUUAAAUCCUACCGCGUCACAUUUUCCGUACUGAUAGUGAGAGUUAAGAUAAUACGUACACUUUACAGUCGAUCGAGAGCAGAUUUAAUUUGGGCGUCUCCCUUGCAAACCGCGUAUCAAUAUCUCCACUUGUUGAAAAGUUAUGAGGCAAAGUCUACACCGGGUUUUCAACUUUGAGCCCUCUUUCCUGCUAGUCAGAUUUCUUUCAGGGGUUGAAAUAAUAGGAAAAGUUAACAUUCAAUUUACUUUCCGAAUAACUUUUCUCAGGAAGGGUAAAUGCGUAAGAGAGACCCCGCUUUCACACAAAAAUAAAAAAACAUUUUCCUUCAGAAAAAAUUAGCACGAUCGACUGAUUUUUUCACUGAAACCAACAUGCUCGUCCGUUUUUUUCACUAAAAUCAACGCCACUUCCUUCUCUCAGAAAACUGAUUAGCAAAUUUAGAAAUAAACUGGAAUAAAAACUUUGACUGUUUGGGACAGCACUGUUGGGAUGAAACUACGUACUUACUCGAUUUAAAUUAGAUUUACGGAUAUACUUAUUACACAUUCGAAUUUUCAUUCCCAAAGGACCCCUGCAAUUUUUAAUAAUUUCAUAAAUAAUUAUUAAACAAAGCAAAAUGGUUGAAAUUGACAAAAAAAUGUCUCGUACUCGACAUCUUUCAAAGAUAAGCGCGCUGUCGUGAAUUAUCAGAACUCCUGGUGGAUCCAACCUAUGGAUGAAAUCAAGGCAGCCGUUCGAAAUUUUUUCAAGAUGAUUUCGAAGGAAGAGUAACGGUAGAAAGCAAUAAUGUCGAUACGGCGCGAGAGGAUGCAAAAGUAUUCAGUCAUGAUGGUACACAGUCCACACCUCCUUCAAAAAGCAGACUGACGUCAUUAACAAAUAUGGUACUGAAGUUCUGGUGAUCGCACAUUCAAGUAAACAUUAACUAUCCGUUACAAUUUGUAGGCGAGAGCUUUGCUUCUUCCGCUCAAAACCUCAUAAUUUUGUCAACUUUAGAGCACAUGAGACGGUUAUGAGUCUCGAUCGGUCAGGAAUGAUGUAGGCUUUUAACUAUAACCAAGGCCAGCUCAAUAGCUAUCUUAGAUCCGGAAUUUAAGCGGUAGUCCGGGAAUUUUCGGGAUUAUCGUUUGUACGAAUCUCACGGGGUGUUGUCCCGAGGAUUCUUCGUCACAAAAGGGCUAAAACAAGGCUGCUGUGUGUCACCAACAUUAUUUAAGGUAAACCUAGAGCACGUGUUGAAGGAAUGGAAAAGGAAGGUUGCGGGGAUGGGCAUUCCACUCCUUGAUGGACGGACCCUUUAAAAUCUGUGCUUUGCCGAUGGCCAGAUCGUAAUAGCUCGAGAUGAAGAAGAUGCGGAUUACAUGGUGUGGAAAUUGGUAGAAGAAUAUGGGAAAUGAGGCUUGGAUGUUAGUGUAUCCAAGACAGAAAAGCUGGUUGUGGGAGCAGCGCAUCAACGGCAAAGCAUAGAGCUUGAGGGCCGUCCAUCCUCAUCGAAUGCGACGCAUCAAAGAAAGUGACGAAUAUAAGUAUCUCGAUGUCUGGCUAGAUCAGGAUGGAAGGAUGGAUAGGGCGAUUAAGGACAGGAUCAUCCAGGGCAGCAGAGCCAUUGCGAUGCUGAACGGGCUGCUCUGGGAUCAGAGCAUUUUAAAGG
rnacentral:lncRNA from 1 species